AAUCAACGCUGGCGGCGUGCCUCAGACAUGCAAGUCGAACGCGAAAGUUUCCUUCGGGAGGCGAGUAGAGUGGCGCACGGGUGAGUAACACGUAGGUAAUUUGCCUUUGGGUGGGGAAUACCAACCGGAAACGGUUGUUAAUACCGCAUAAUGCAGCGGCAUCAUAAGAUGACAGUUGUUAAAGCGGGGGAUUCGUAAGAACCUCGCGCCUAAAGAGGAGCCUGCGGCGGAUUAGGUAGUUGGNGAGGUAAUGGCUCACCAAGCCUGCGACUCCGUAACCGACCUGAGGAGGGGUGGUCGGUCACACUGACACUGACAGUACGGGU
rnacentral:rRNA from 1 species